GCCAGACUCCUACGGGAGGCAGCAGUGGGGAAUAUUGCACAAUGGGGGAAACCCUGAUGCAGCAACGCCGCGUGAGUGAAGAAGUAUUUCGGUAUGUAAAGCUCUCUCAGCAGGGAAGAAGAUGGCGGUACCUGAUUAAGAAGCCCCGGCUAACUACGUGCCAGCAGCCGCGGUAAUACGUAGGGGGCAAGCGUUAUCCGGAUUUACUGGGUGUAAAGGGAGCGCAGACGGCGAUGCAAGCCAGGAGUGAAAGCCCGGGGCCCAACCCCGGGACUGCUCUUGGAACUGCGUGGCUGGAGUGCAGGAGGGGCAGGCGGAAUUCCUGGUGUAGCGGUGAAAUGCGUAGAUAUCAGGAGGAACACCGGCGGCGAAGGCGGCCUGCUGGACUGCAACUGACGUUGAGGCCCGAAAGCGUGGGGAGCAAACAGGAUUAGAUACCCGAGUACA
rnacentral:rRNA from 1 species